UACGGAGGGGGCAAGCGUUGUCCGGAAUUAUUGGGCGUAAAGCGCGUGUAGGCGGCUCGGUAAGUCUGCUGUGAAAGUCCAAGGCUCAACCUUGGAAAGCCGGUGGAUACUGUCGAGCUCGAGUCCGGAAGAGGCGAGUGGAAUUCCUGGUGUAGCGGUGAAAUGCGCAGAUAUCGGGAGGAACACCAAUGGCGAAGGCAGCUCGCUGGGACGGUACUGACGCUGAGACGCGAAAGCGUGGGGAGCAAACAGG
rnacentral:rRNA from 1 species